rnacentral:rRNA from 1 species
UGGGGAAUAUUGCACAAUGGGCGCAAGCCUGAUGCAGCCAUGCCGCGUGUAUGAAGAAGGCCUUCGGGUUGUAAAGUACUUUCAGCGGGGAGGAAGGGAGUAAAGUUAAUACCUUUGCUCAUUGACGUUACCCGCAGAAGAAGCACCGGCUAACUCCGUGCCAGCAGCCGCGGUAAUACGGAGGGUGCAAGCGUUAAUCGGAAUUACUGGGCGUAAAGCGCACGCAGGCGGUUUGUUAAGUCAGAUGUGAAAUCCCCGGGCUCAACCUGGGAACUGCAUCUGAUACUGGCAAGCUUGAGUCUCGUAGAGGGGGGUAGAAUUCCAGGUGUAGCGGUGAAAUGCGUAGAGAUCUGUAGGAAUACCGGUGGCGAAGGCGGCCCCCUGGACGAAGACUGACGCUCAGGUGCGAAAGCGUGGGGAGCAAACAGG